rnacentral:rRNA from 1 species
ACACCAUGGGAGCUGGUAAUAUCUAAAACCGUGAGAAAACCGGAAGGAAGCGCAUGUCUAGGGUAGGGUUGGUGAUUGGAGUUAAGUCGUAACAAGGUACCCCUACGAGAACGUGGGGGUGGAUUACCUCCUUUCUAUGGAGUAUAUUAAUACACUAACACGAUAUACACCUGUUACAUAUAACGGUGAAACAAUUAAAACCCAGCAAGAAAAGUUAAACCCAUAAAAGCAAAUUGAUAACUUAAAAAUUGUUGGUCGGAUUCUAUUCAGUUCUCAAGGGGUAUUU